rnacentral:lncRNA from 1 species
AAACUUUUUGUGGCAUCGGACAUUUUGGUUUUCUCCCAUUUUUUUCAGUCCUGUAAAAAAUGUUGCUAUAAUAUUGCUAUGCAUGUCUACUUCUGCAUAUAAGCAGAUCUUUCUUUUGGGCAUAUACCUAGGAAAAUAAUUGCUAUGUUGUGGAGGAAGUACAUCUGUCUUUAUUAAAUACAUCACUUGUUAUGUUUUAUUUGGGAUACUUAUCUAUUAAUAUAUGAACACCAAAAGUUUUUAUGUUUGUGCAAAUAUCUUCUCAUAGUUUCUUGGUUAUUUUUUCUUCUUUAUUUGCUAUUUAUAGAAACACAGAAAGUUGCUUUUCAUCGAAGCUGAGGUGGAAAGAUCCCUUGAGCCAAAGGGUGAGGUUGUAGUGA